rnacentral:rRNA from 1 species
GACGAACGCUGGCGGCGUGCCUAAUACAUGCAAGUAGAACGCUGAAGAGAGGAGCUUGCUCUUCUUGGAUGAGUUGCGAACGGGUGAGUAACGCGUAGGUAGCCUGCCUUGUAGCGGGGGAUAACUAUUGGAAACGAUAGCUAAUACCGCAUAACAAUAGGUGACACAUGUCAUUUAUUUGAAAGGGGCAAUUGCUCCACUACAAGAUGGACCUGCGUUGUAUUAGCUAGUAGGUGAGGUAACGGCUCACCUAGGCGACGAUACAUAGCCGACCUGAGAGGGUGGUCGGCCACACUGGGACUGAGACACGGCCCAGACUCCUAAGGGAGGCAGCAGUAGGGAAUCUUCGGCAAUGGGGGCAACCCUGACCGAGCAACGCCGCGUGAGUGAAGAAGGGUUUCGGAUCGUAAAGCUCUGUUGUAAGUCAAGAACGAGUGUGAGAGUGGAAAGUUCACACUGUGACGGUAGCUUACCAGAAAGGGACGGCUAACUACGUG